UAGGAAACUGCUCAGAGAACUCAUGCAAGUGGAACCUACAGCUUCCUUGAUCUGGCUCAGCAUUCAGAUAUCAAAGCAGACUGCAACACCUGCGCGGAAAUAGAAGACAGAAAGGUUUCCCGACAGCAGAUGAAUUGUGAAAGAGAGCAGCUAAGGGUAGGUGCAUCCGCCUGCAAAUGCUUCCUGCUUCGCGUCUGUGAGAUAAGCAAAAAUUUCCUUGUCUCUCCCAAGGCACCGGGUUCUAAAUAGCGGGCUUCGUCUUAAGACUGGUAGAGUUGAAAAUAUUUAUCCCAGCUAAUUUGCUAUUGAUUGAGCUGGUAAAUACAGUAUAUCUUCUUUUGAAGUGCCAUUAUAGUAAGUAUGGAUUUUUUGAUUUAGAUUCAGCAAUAAAUACUU